rnacentral:rRNA from 1 species
GUAGGUGGCAAGCGUUGUCCGGAAUUAUUGGGCGUAAAGCGCGCGCAGGCGGUUCUUUAAGUCUGAUGUGAAAGCCCACGGCUCAACCGUGGAGGGUCAUUGGAAACUGGAGAACUUGAGUACAGAAGAGGAAAGCGGAAUUCCACGUGUAGCGGUGAAAUGCGUAGAGAUGUGGAGGAACACCAGUGGCGAAGGCGGCUUUCUGGUCUGUAACUGACGCUGAGGCGCGAAAGCGUGGGGAGCAAACAGGAUUAGGUACCCUGGUAGUCCACGCCGUAAACGAUGAGUGCUAAGUGUUAGGGGGUUUCCGCCCCCGUUAGUGCUGCAGCUAACGCAUUAAGCACUCCGCCUGGGGAGUACGGCCGCAAGGCUG